GGGAACAUACCCUUUUCUACGGAAUAGCUCUGGGAAACUGGAAUUAAUACCGUAUGCGCCCUACGGGGGAAAGAUUUAUCGGGGAAGGAUUGGCCCGCGUUGGAUUAGCUAGUUGGUGGGGUAAAGGCCUACCAAGGCGGCGAUCCAUAGCUGGUCUGAGAGGAUGAUCAGCCACAUUGGGACUGAGACACGGCCCAAACUCCUACGGGAGGCAGCAGUGGGGAAUAUUGGACAAUGGGCGCAAGCCUGAUCCAGCCAUGCCGCGUGAGUGAUGAAGGCCUUAGGGUUGUAAAGCUCUUUCACCGAUGAAGAUAGUGACGGUAGUCGGAGAAGAAGCCCCGGCUAACUUCGUGCCAGCAGCCGCGGUAAUACGAAGGGGGCUAGCGUUGUUCGGAAUUACUGGGCGUAAAGCGCACGUAGGCGGAUAUUUAAGUCAGGGGUGAAAUCCCAGAGCUCAACUCUGGAACUGCCUUUGAUACUGGGUAUCUUGAGUAUGGAAGAGGUAAGUGGAAUUGCGAGU
rnacentral:rRNA from 1 species